rnacentral:rRNA from 1 species
UACGAAGGGGGCUAGCGUUGUUCGGAAUCACUGGGCGUAAAGCGCGCGUAGGCGGAUAUGCAAGUCAGAGGUGAAAGCCCGGAGCCUAACUCCGGAAUUGCCUUUGAAACUGCGUAUCUAGAGACUCGGAGGGGAUAGUGGAAUUCCAAAUGUAGGGGUGAAAUCCGUAGAGAUUUGGAGGAACACCAGUGGCGAAGGCGGCUAUCUGGACGAGUACUGACGAUGAGGUGCGAAAGCGUGGGGAGCAAACAGG